rnacentral:rRNA from 1 species
AGAUAGAAUGAAAGGUUAAACGAAAUAUUAACUGUUUCUAAAAUUUAAAAUGAAAUUAAAACUAAGGUAAAAAUUCCUUUAACUAAAAGAAGGACGACAAGACCCUGAUAAACUUAAAUAUACAUUUUGCUGGGGCGGCAAUUAAAAAAAACCUUAAAAACCAAUAACAAAAACUCUAAAACUUAUUAAUUUUAAAGUUACUACAGGGAUAACAGCGCAAUUUUUUUCUAAAGAUCACAUUUAAAAAAAAUAAUACGACCUCGAUGUUGAAUUAAUUAAUCUACUUAAGAGUACAAACUUAGUAAGAAGGUCUGUUCGACCAUUAAAAAAUU